GGGAGCCCUGGUGGAGAGACGCUCCGUCAGGCUCCCUUGGCUUCCCCAGCCCCUGUGUGUCCCAACCUCAGCGUGGUGGAGAGGGGAGAACCCAAUUCACUGGAGAUGAGUUAAUACUUGUGAAGAGCUCAUGACAGUGUCUAGCUCAUAUAGGUUGGUGCGGUUUAUCUGUAAUUUGGCCUCCUGCAUGGAUUUGGGGCACUGGGCCUAGCUGGUGCCACUCUGGGAACUCUUCUUAGUCCCACUCGAGACUUUUGGCUCCUGGCUGCUGAGUGGGGCAGGACUUCUGAACAGAGCACGAGACCCUCCGCUUUCUCUGAGUCCUCGGUGAUACUAUGAUUUUCCACUGAAAGGACUGUAGCCUGGAACAUCUUUCGCCGGUGCACAUGGAUCAGGCCUGCGGGGGAACAAACGAGACCGAGCCUGAGGCAGGGACCUCCCCUCACCCGCUGAGAGUUCAUCCUGGGACCCUAGUCUCAGGGGGACGUGUCCAGACUGGAGUGAGUCAGUGAGAGGUCACAGGGGUCAGAUGUCGGGACAGGCCCAGGGGCUCACCUGGAAGGCGGCUUGGGCCCAGCCACGGAAGGCCUCCUCCUGGCCGCACAGCUCGUCUCCCUGGCCCAGCUGCAGGAGCCGCUCCCCACCCAGCUCUUCCAGCCGCGUGUCCACCGCACGAGCAAAGGCGCAGAAGUGCGGGAGGACACCAGUGGGUCUGAACAGGAGACGCUGUUGAAGCGGAUUUUGUAACUCCUGGCAAGAGAGGACAAAGACAGGGGUGUCACAGGCACAGCCCUGUGACACAGCCAGGGGACAGCUUCAGGGCCUCUGCAUCUGGGGCAGGAAAGGCUCUGCCCCUGGGCUUGGCUUCGCAUCCUUGGGGGUCUCCAGACCUCCAGGUCCUGCUCUGCCUCCCCUACCCUCUCUGAAGGAGACCUCAGGACUGACUGGCCCUUAGUGCCCUGGGGGCAGAUCAUGAGGAAGGAGGGUGUCCUGAGGCUGUGGUGGGGACCCAGGCCUCCUCCCACCUGUCCUCUUGCUUGUUGGAGGCACAGAGGGAGAGCUCUCCAGAUGCCC